rnacentral:rRNA from 1 species
AGUGAACGCUGGCGGUAGGCCUAACACAUGCGAGUCGAACGGCAGCACAGUAAGAGCUUGCUCUUACGGGUGGCGAGUGGCGGACGGGUGAGGAAUACAUCGGAAUCUACUUUUUCGUGGGGGAUAACGUAGGGAAACUUACGCUAAUACCGCAUACGACCUACGGGUGAAAGCAGGGGAUCUUCGGACCUUGCGCGAUUGAAUGAGCCGAUGUCGGAUUAGCUAGUUGGCGGGGUAAAGGCCCACCAAGGCGACGAUUCGUAGCUGGUCUGAGAGGAUGAUCAGCCACACUGGAACUGAGACACGGUCCAGACUCCUACGGGAGGCAGCAGUGGGGAAUAUUGGACAAUGGGCGCAAGCCUGAUCCAGCCAUACCGCGUGGGUGAAGAAGGCCUUCGGGUUGUAAAGCCCUUUUGUUGGGAAAGAAAAGCAGCAGGUUAAUACCCCGCUGUUCUGACGGUACCCAAAGAAUAAGCACCGGCUAACUUCGUG